UUUCUAUGGAUAUUUGCUAGAUCUAGAGAUAUGGUCUGCAUUUCGAAAGAUUAAAAUGAGAUUCGUGUUCAAAUCCCUCUCCAAGUUCUCUCACAUCUCCAUCCUGAUGUUGCUCUUGUUAGAAGGCUACCUUUUGAAUGAUAGAGACAGAGCGAUGUCUAUGGGUUUGGAGUUUUGCUGCUGGAGCUCUUAACUGGACUGAAACCUUUUGACAGUACCUGCUUGCUCAAUUUAUUACUCGAAAAACUCCCUUUCAAAUUCAGGUUAUUGAAACCAACCAAGAUUCCAAAACCCGCCCUUCUUCAACCUUAGUUGCAGGAUCCUUGUAAUAGGUGCCACUCCCGCUUUGAAUCAUGCUUCAGACUCGUGUUCAUGUCCCACUUCCUAGACAUUUACACUUGAUAACAUUUGCGGACAGACGCUUCCCUGCUCCUACAUCUGAAUCUGUUGUCUCGCUUGCCUCACGCUUCGUGCAACCAUAUUUCCGCCACGCCACCAGUCUAUGAAAAGAUACUCUUGCUUGGUCUUGCUUAAUUAUAUUCAGAAAGUUCAAAAAAUUGUACUGGAUGCAUUUAUAGAAAUCAUAAUCGCAAAGUACAAAUGGUUGAAGUUGCCAUCAUUGAAAGUCUAACCGGUCUUUGAUAUGGAGGAAUGUUAUAAACGUUGAUGGUCAAUGUUAUGUUGAAUGUAAUUUGAGAAUGUGUUCCCAAACUUAUAUUUGAUUCCUUUCCUUG